UCUCCCGUAGUGCGUGGAGAGUUGUGUACUAUGGCUUAGCGAGAGGAUGUGCAACUUACCUAGUGGAAAACAUAGCAAUAAAAAAAAGUAAAGAAAGGAAAAGGAGAAGGAUAAAGGAGAAGGCGGGGGGCAUCAGAGACUUGACCUUAGGCACGUUUUUUCCCCCCUCCCCCUCACGCCCCCUUUUACCACUGGCUUUUACCUCAGACCAACUACAAGAGGCUGUCAGGAGGGACCUGGAGUUUGAAAUCUGAGAAAUGAAGCAAGAUGAGGGUCUUACCGGCGCUGUCUUUGCUCUGCUUUCCAGACUAGGAACAAAGGGCUGUGAUAGUUUGCCAAACCGGAAGAGAGUCAACUGUACUAUCCGCGGAUAUGAUGUCACGGCGCUACGUGGAAAGAGCCAGUUGUCCAGGAGGAAACCAGAAUACCCGGAGAAAACACACGCACAGGGAAAACAUACAAUCUCCACACAGGAAGCCUGGAGUCCGGAUUUGAGCCCACGACCUAUGAACUGUGAGGCGGAUGUUCUAACCCGGGUGUGUCAAACUCAUUUUUGUAGUGGGCCACAUUGUUGGUACAGUUUCCCUCAGAGGGCUGUUAAGACCGUGAAACCGUAUAAGGGUGUUUAUUUGAUUUUGGGCACUUUUUCUUUUUCAUUUUUUCUCAAAAAUAAAAUGUCACAAAAACUAUAUAUACCUACCUUACCUUAAUUGUCAUCUUUCUGUGUGUCAGAAUCUGUUCAUGUCCAUAUAUAUUGAUUUAAUAUAUAUAUUUUUUUAUUUGGUCUUUUUGUCAGAUACCCUAGAGAAAUGUCAUUACCGCGAGAGAAUUAAAGAUCAACGAACCCAUGGCAUCCAUUUGUGAAUGGAUUGUGGAUGCUUGGGCUAAAAUGUCUGCUUGCACCGUUAUUCGAGCUUUCGUAAAAGCCGGCAUAAUUUCUGAGCAGCCGCACGGCGACGAGACUGACUCCGACAAUGACAAGAGGGAACCUGGCGUGUUUGAUUGAGAACUUGCCCAGCUGUUCAUUUCGGAUACAGAAGAUGAGGACUUUGAUGGAUUUUUGGAUGAGGAUUGAUAAAAAAAAUAACGUGAGUACAUUGUUAAAUACUUCAAUAAAGUACAACCGAACUCAGUUUUGCUCCCGCUACCUUUUUAAAAACAUUGUUUUAGCGUGCAUGCAUGCUACCGUAUGUUUUAAGCUAGCGUAUGUUUUACCAUGCCUGCUCCCAAUAAUACGGUGUGCCUUAUGUAUGUUAAAUACAGAAAUAGACCCCGUAACUGAGACUGCACCUUUUAAUACGGUGCGCCUUAUCGUCGUGAAAAUACGGUAAGUUUUCAAAUCAGAAGUCAAGGAUAAUAGUUUGUUCAACUAUUGUUCGUUCACAUGACUGUAAAAAAAGGUUUAGUAACAAAACAAAACAAAAUGCUUGCAAUACCUCAACUUUAUUAUUUCUUAUGUAUUCCUAUGUGAAAUUAUGGUACAGAUUUUCGCAAGCAUCAUGGAAGUUGAUGCAAAUGAUUUGCUUUCGCCGGCCACAUAAAAUGAUUCACUUUUUGCAGUCAGAUUUGCGCUGACAAAACCGCGAGUUCUUCAUUCAAUCGACAACAAACAGAGCUUCCAAAAUUAGCAGUAACAGUUCCUCGUACUUAAAAUGCACGAGUGAAGGCAUAAGUAGCCAUGUUGAUCCUUUGAAACUGUCUGCCUGUCAUAUCCCCCCACCCCCAAUACUGAGUGCUGUAUAUCCAUCCAUCCAUUUUCUGAGCCGCUUCUCCUCACUAGGGUCGCGGGCGUGCUGGAGCCUAUCCCAGCUGUCAUCGGGCAGGAGGCGGGGUACACCCUGAACUGGUUGCCAGCCAAUCGCAGGGCACAUAGGAACAAACAACCAUUUGCACUCACAGUCAUGCCUACGGGCAAUUUAGAGUCUCCAAUUCAGGCAUGUUUUUGGGAUGUGGGAGGAAACCGGAGUGCCCGGAGAAAACCCACGCAGGCACGGGGAGAACAUGCAAACUCCACACAGGCGGGGCCGGGGAUUGAACCCGGGUCCUCAGAACUGUGAGGCUGACGCUCUAACCAGUCGUCCACCGUGCCGCCGAGUGCUGUAUAGUUCAUACAAAUAAGAAGACACUGCUCAUAGAAUUACGUGCACAUGCUUGCCUGAUGCUGUUGUGCAGGCCAAUGUCAUGUCCUGCAUUCUCCUCUCUAAAACCAACUGCCCUCAUGUCUUCCCUCACAACAUCCAUCAACCUUCUCUUUGGUCUUCCUCUAGCUCUCUUGCCUGGCAGCUCCAUCCUCAUCAUCCUUCUACCAAUAUACUCACUAUUUCUCCUCUGGAUGUGUCCGAACCAUCGAAGUCUGCUCUCUCUAACUUUGUCUCCAAAACAUAGUACCUUGGCUUUCCCUCUGAUGAGCUAAUUUCUAAUUUUAUCCAACCUGGUCACUCCGAGAGCGAACCUCAACAUCUUCAUUUCCGCCACCUCCAACUCUGCUUCCUGAUGUCUCUUCAGUGCCACUCUCCCUAAUCCGUACAUCAUGGCUGGCCUCACCACUGUUUCAUAAACUUUGCCCUUCAUCCUAGCAGAGACUCUUCUGUCACAUAACACACCUGACACCUUCCUCCACCCGUUGCAACCUGCUUGGACCUGUUUCUUCACUUCCUUACCACACUCACUAUUGCUCUGGACGGUUGACCCCAAGUAUUUGAAGGCAUCCACCCUUGCUAUCUCGUCUCCCUGUAGCCUCACACUUCCCCCUCCACCUCUCUCAUUCAUGCACAUAUAUUCUGUCUUACUUUGGCUAAUCUUCAUUUCUCUCCUUUCCAGUGCAUGCUUCCACCUUUCUAACUGUUCCUCCACCUACUCCCUGCUUUCACUGCAGAUCACAAGGUCAUCUGCAAACAUCAUGGUUCACAGGGAUUUCAGUCUAACCUCAUCUGUCAGCCUAUCCAUCACCACUGCAAACAGGAAGGGACUCAGGGCUGAUCCCUGAUGCAGUCCUACCUCCAACUUAAAUUCGUCUGUCACACCUACAGCACACUUCACCGCUGUUCUGCUGCCCUCGUACAUGUUCUGUAUUAUUCUAACAUAUUUCUCUGCCACUCCAGACCUCCACAUGCAGUAACACAGUUCCUCGCUUGGUACUCUGUCAUAGGCUUUCUCUAGAUCCACAAAGACACAAUCUAGCUCCCUCUGACCAAGGCAAAUGCAUCUGUGGUACUCUUUCUAGGCAUGAAACCAUAUUGUUGCUCGUAAAUACUCACUUCUGUCCUGAGUCUAGCCUUCACUACUCUUUCCCAUAAGACAAGAGCCAUCUCUCCUGGAUGCUUCCAUACCUCCACAAGUAUGUCAUCAGGACCAACUUCCUUUCCAUUUUCCAUCCUCUUUAAUGCCUUUCUAACUUCCCCCUUACUAAUCAUUGCCACUUCCUGGUCCACCACACUUGCCUCACCUACUCUUCCUUCUCAUUUUCCUCAUUCAUCAAUUCCUCAAAGUAUUAUUUCCAUCUAUCCAGCACACUAUUGGCACCAGUUAACACAUUUCUCUUUCCUUCAUCAACCUAACCUACUGCACAUCUUUCCCAUCUUUAUCCCUCUGUCUGGCCAACCUGUAUAGAUCCUUUUCUCCUUUUUUAGUGUCCAACCUGGCAUACAUGCCUUAUUUGGCCUUUGCCACCUCUACCUUUGCCCUACAUCGCAUCUCAAAGUAUUUUUUUCUCCUCUCCUCAGUCCUCUCAGUGUCCCACUUCUUCUUAGCUAACAUCUGUCCUUAUAUGAUUUCCUGUACUUUGAGGUUCCACCACCAAGUCCCCUUCUUCCCUUUCCUACCAGAAGAUACACCAAGUACUCUCCGCCCUGUCUCUCUGAUCACCUUGGCUCUAGUGGUCCAGUCUUCUGGAAGCUCCUCCUGUCCACCGAGAGCCUGUCUCACCUCUUCCCAGAAAGCUGCACAACACUCUUCCUUUCUCAGCUUCCACCAGGUUUGCUGCUCUGGUUUUGUCUUCUUGAGCUUCUACACCACCAUCCUAUGCUGUCUUGCCACACUCUCCCCUACCAGUACCUUACAGUCAGUAACCUCUUUCAGAUGACAUCGUCUGCAUAAGAUGUAAUCCACCUGCGUGCCUCUACCUCCGCUCUUGUAGGUCACCCUAUGUACCUGCCUCUUCUGGAAAAAAGUGUUCGCUACAGCCAUUUCCAUCCUUUUAGCAAAGACUACCACCAUCCUACCUGUGGGGCAUAGCCGCUAAUGACAUUAUACAUAACACCCUCAAUUUAAAAUUUCACCCUCAUCACUCAAUCUGAUACUCUAUUCACCUCCAAGACAUUCUUAGGUAACUCUUCUUAGGUAACUCUUCUUUUAAAAUAACCACUACUCCACUACUUCCCAUCUACACCAUGGUAAAAUAAUUUAAACCCUGCCCCUAAACUUCUAGCCUUACUGCUUUUCCACUUGCUCUCCUGUACACACAAUAUAGCAACCUUUUUCCUAAUCAUUAUGUUAACCAACUCCCGAGAUUUUCCUGUCAUAGUCCAAACAUUGAAAGUCCCCACAUUCAAUUCUAGGCUCUCUGCUUUCCUCUUCUCUUUCUGCCUAAGAACCCACUUUCCACCUCUCCUUCGUCUUCGACCCACAGUAGCUGAAUUUCCACCGGCGCCCUGCAGGUUAAAGCCGCCAGGGACGGAUGCUGUUAACCCCGGCCACGACCGAUCCGGUAUGGAAUUCUUUAGAUGAACGCUUAUAUUUGUUUGACAAAGUUUUAAGUCGGAUGCCCUUCCUGAUGCAACCCUCUGCAUUUAUCCGGUCUUGGGACCGGCCUACAGUUUGCACUGGCUUGUGCCCCCCAUAGUGCUGCAUUCUCAUAAUGACUGAAUGAUGAAUUCAAUUAAUUCAGCGUUCAAUAUGUAAGGCAUAGGACUUGGUAAACCAAAAAAAAAAAAAAAAACCUCAGGUUAGGUAGGAAAAAAAUGCCUGUUUGAGGCAAACCUAUCACACACUGUAUUUAAAAGUCCCAUAUUUUGGCUGUUUAGACCUCCAUAGUAUAAAACUGUCAAUUUCAUUUAAAAAAACACCUUGGUUUUCUUAUACGAGUGUCCAGAAAAGCCCCUCUGACAACUACUUCUGUUUGACCCAGUUUUGUAUCAGCUUUGUCCAUAUUUGGCUAAGACCGCCCCCUUUCCUCUGAUUGGUUGCCUCCAAGUAGAAGACCCACUUGUGAGAGGACACGUGUGGCUCGGGAGCGUAAAGGGAAGGUGCAGCUCUUCGCUAGUGGCGUAGAUAAGCUUGAGAAAUUCAAAUGACCUGAUUUCAGGCCUCUCUGGAACUCAAGAAAGUGUGGAGGAUUUUAAUUCCUAUUUCACGUUUACUGAGGCACCAUAGAGCCAAUAUAACAUGCCAAAUACUAGAAAAAGUUGGUUUGUGAUUUUGACCUCAUUUCUGAUUACCCAGGUUAAAUAUGGUGCUAAAAAUGUCUUGGCGAUGAUUGAAAGAAAGUAGAAAGAAGUAGGUUGUAAUAUAUGUUUUAGUUGAAUUUAGGUGGGCAUGAAAAGUAAUGAGUGAUCUGAAAAUUUGCCAUUUCUGCCUCGACUCUCCCAUUCCUGUCUGUCACCCUUUGCUGCUAGUUCCAUUUUCAGGCCCAUUCAUAUGGUAAUAGAGGUCAGGAGAUGAGGGGGUUCUCACGUUCAAUGUGAAGCUUGGCUCUUUGUUUGGCCACGGCUCAAGCUGCCGCCACAGAGGCCAGAGGUGGGAUUGAAUUCAGCUGAAAUCCCCUGUGUAUCUGGUCUUGUUCUGGGCAGUGCACAGGGACUGGACUGGCCCUGAUGGAGGACUGACACUGAUCCAGGGCUGAAGGGGUAGCUGCACUUUUCAAUUACCAUUGGAUUUGCACUUUUCUGCUAUUUUGGAUCAGUAUUUAUGGGCCAUGUUCCUGUUCGCAGGUUUGAAUGAAGUACGAAGUCUCUCACGCGAAGGAUUUCUUACAAGCGGCAUCAUCUUUAAGCGGAUAUGUUAUUGAACCUGUUUACUAGUGAUCAUUCACAAAGGAAUUAUGGCUUCAUAAUGUCGUAAUACAGUGGAAACGGGCGAUUUGUUCAGAGACUGAAUUAAUCCAUUCCAAAGUCAAACUAUGGCCAUCGUGAAAUCUUUCUUAACUGUACAGGCAGCAAUUUUAAGAAGUGUAACCACUUUAUAUGAAAACCGAAAAACAAUACAUUGUGUGGCGGCAUGGUGGGCGACUGGUUAACACAUCUGCCUCACAGUUUUGAGGACCGGGGUACAAAUCCCGGCCCCGCCUGUGUGGAGUUUGAAUGUUCUCCCCGUGCCUGAGUGGGUUUUCUCCGGGCACUCCGGUUUCCUCCCACAUCCCAAAAAACAUGUGUGGUAGGUUGAUUGAAGACUCUAAAUUGCCCAUAGGUGUGAAUGUGAGCGCAAAUGGUUGUUUGUUUCUCUGUGCCCUGCGAUUGGCUGGCGACCAGUUCAGGGUGUACCCCGCCUCUCGCCCGAAGAUAGCUGGGAUAGACACUUGCACCCCCGCGACCCUUGUGAGGAUAAAGCGGUUCAGACAAUGGGUGGAUGGAAUACAUUGUGUUACUCUAACAUUGACAACACAUGACAGAUGUGUAGUUUAUAUCGAAUUGCAUGACAGCGGAUGAUGUGUCCUGCCUUUUAACAUUCUUCUUAAAUGUCAUGCCAGUAUAAAACACAAUUAACAUUAGCAUAUUAAAAUUGUGUACUGACAACCGACUUUGAGUACUUGUGCUCAAGCUGAAUGUUUCCAGCAUAAUAAAGUAACACAGCCCAGUUUCUUAUAUACGUUUUGUUUUCUUUUAAAUAUUGAAAUCGACAUCUGAAUGCUGCACCGUUAGCCAUUUUAUAAGGUUUUUACAGUACUUACUUACAACAGUGUCAAAUCAACAUUUCUAUUCAUUGUGGUGCUGUUGAGUUACACAAGGUAAAUGGGAGGCUUGCAGAAGAAGUAGGCCAGGUAAUUCUUAUCUUCAAUUAGCAUACAGCAGAACUGACUGGGAUGUCACUCUUUAGCACUCAACCCAAAGUCAGGGUUUCAUUAAAAAAAAGGGCAACAUACAUCUGUAAUGCGAGAGUUUAAUAAGACACACAUUCAGCGAACUACGGGUAACAUAAACACACAUGAUUAAUGUUACGUUAAUCCUUAUCGUUCAUGAACAUUAAGAAUUUACAUCGACCUUGACUCUGGUGUGAGUGUGUGUGUGUGUGUGUGUGUGCGCGCGCAUGUUUGUUGGGUGUCAGAGUACAGGUGGGCAGAGAACAGAAGAGGGAGCGGGUGCAGAGCGGGCAGAGAGUUCAGAUUCCUGACAGCCUGAUGAAUAAAACUGUCUUUGAGUCGGCUAGUCCUGGCCCGCGGACCCCGCUCUGUGGAGGUCUUUGCUGGUGAGGCGGGUGCUGUAAAUGUCCUGCAGGGAGGGAAGAGCGGUUCCACUGAUCUUCUCAGCUGCCCUCACUAUGUGGUGGAGAGUCUUGCGGCAGGAUGCGGUGCAGGCUCCGUACCACACAGUGAUGCAGUUGGUCAGGAUGCUCUCUAUGGUCCCUCUGUAGAAAGAGCACACGAUGGGGGUCGGGGCUCUGGCUCUUCUCAGUUUGCGCAGGAAGUAGAGACACUGGUGAUCUUUCUUGGCCAGUGAUGAGGUGUUGCUGGUCCAGGAGACAUCCUCGGUGAUGUUCAGCGGAGCAUGCUGCGAGUGCACUCUCCACAAGUCCACAACAAUCUAUAAAUUCCUUGCAAUUGUACGUUGAGGAACAUUGUCCUUAAACUGUUCGACUAUUUUCCCAUGCACUUGUUCACAAAGAGGUGAACCUCACCCCAUCUUUGCUUGUGAAUGACUGAGCAAUUCAGGGAAGCUCCUUUUAUACCCAAUCAUGGCACCCACCUGUUCCCAAUUAGCCUGUUCACCUGUGGGAUGUUCCAAACAGGUGUUUGAUGAGCAUUCCUCAACUUUCUCAGUCUUUUUUGCCACCUCUCCCAGCUUUUUUGGAACGUGUUGCAGCCAUAAAAUUCUAAGUUAAUGAUUAUUUGCUAAAAUAAUAAAGGUUUACCAGUUUGAACAUGAAAUAUCUUUUCUUUGUAGUGUAUUCAAUUAAAUAUAGGUUGAAUAUGCUUUGCAAACCAUUGUAUUCUGUUUUUAUUUAUGUUUAACACAACGUCCCAACUUCAUUGGAAUUGGGGUUGUAUAUGCUUAAGCCUCGUGAGGAGGUGGCACCGCCGCCCAGCCGAAGGGAUUACUGUUCCAGCCGGGCCACUUGUUCCGCGCGGUCGGUGUGGUAUUCUCCAGAAGCAGUUUUGUAUUUCUUUUUUAAUUCACUUUAUUUACAGCUCAGCACACAGACCCAACAUGUCAUCCAACUAUCUACUUGUAUAGCCACACUACUUUCGUCUUCAUAUCUUAUCUUAUCAAAUACAAACAUGCCUGAAAUACGUGACAUUUACGCUGUUUGACUGAAAGCACAAAUGAGCAUUCUGCAUGUCAGGAAGCAUAGUUCAUGAACCUGACCAAUAUUUGUCCCAAAAAUUUGCAAACCAAUUUGUUGGUAAACUGAGGUCUCAUUAAGAAGUUUCACCUUAAUUGCUACAUUUUUUUACUUCAAUGGAGUUGUGGAGAGACUGAAGCUCACUCGUAACUCGUAAGUCAUUGCUCACAAGUCAAGGUAAAAAAAUUGGCCAAGCAACGGUGUGUAUCUUGGAAAACUCACAAGUGAGGGCGCUCGUAAGUUGAGGUACCACUGUAUUUCAUUAGACUUUUAUUUUUUUCCUUUUGCUAAUUGACUGGGACCAAUUGAAUAUUUUCAUUGAAUCAAAGUCAGGUGUGCACGGUUCAUUUAGAACAGUCUCUUCAAUUACAAAUCUGAUUUCUUGCCUGAUUAAAGGGUUAAAACUUGAGAGCCUUGUCAUUUGGGCUAAACUUGUAAUGUUAACAUGCCCACUUCCCAAGUUCACACCAGCGUGACCAGUGAUUUAUGCCAUGUCCUGCAUCCAUCCAUCCAUUUUCUGUACCGCUUUUCCUCACUAGCGUCGCGGCCUAUCCCAGCUAUCUUCGGGGUGAGAGGCGGUGUACACCCUAAACGAGUCGCCAGCCAAUUGUAGGGCACCUAUAAACAAACAACCAUUCGCACUCACAUUCACACCUAUGGGCAAUUUAG